GCCAGUAAUCGUCGCGUCGGUUUCCAUAGGGAAUGAAAAGGGAAUCCGUUCCGGCCUCGGCCGGCAAACGGAACUGCCCCCGCAACUGUAGGCGGCGAGUGCCUCUCGACAAGCCACUGGGACCAUCCCGGGAAGGCGAGAGCUGCGACGACCCGUCAGUCAGGAGACCUGCCGACGAAAUUGAAACCAC
rnacentral:ncRNA from 2 species